rnacentral:rRNA from 1 species
UAACAAGGUCUCCGUUGGUGAACCAGCGGAGGGAUCAUUAUAGAGUUUUCUAAACUCCCAACCCAUGUGAACUUACCUUUUGUUGCCUCGGCAGAAGUUAUAGGUCUUCUUAUAGCUGCUGCCGGUGGACCAUUAAACUCUUGUUAUUUUAUGUAAUCUGAGCGUCUUAUUUUAAUAAGUCAAAACUUUCAACAACGGAUCUCUUGGUUCUGGCAUCGAUGAAGAACGCAGCGAAAUGCGAUAAGUAAUGUGAAUUGCAGAAUUCAGUGAAUCAUCGAAUCUUUGAACGCACAUUGCGCCCAUUAGUAUUCUAGUGGGCAUGCCUGUUCGAGCGUCAUUUCAACCCUUAAGCCUAGCUUAGUGUUGGGAAUCUACUUCUUUAUAGUUGUAGUUCCUGAAAUACAACGGCGGAUUUGUAGUAUCCUCUGAGCGUAGUAAUUUUUUUCUCGCUUUUGUUAGGUGCUAUAACUCCCAGCCGCUAAACCCCCAAUUUUUUGUGGUUGACCUCGGAUCAGGUAGGAAUACCCGCUGAACUUAAGCAUAU